rnacentral:lncRNA from 1 species
UUUUACUUCACUUUUUCAAAAUUGCAGUUUUUCCUCUCGCAAUAUCUCCCGACCAAGAAACAACCUCCACAAUCGUUUCGUGUAAAAAAAUGUAUUAAAAUCACCUUAUAAUUCCUGUAUAUGUAAUUAUUAAAACCUGUAAUUUACUCCUUUCUCUCUAAUUGUAGUAAAUUUUUUGUGGGUUUAAAAAAAAAAAAAGAUAAUCAUUGUGCUAGAACAACGAUUGUCGGUUUUUGGUGUCGUCUCAUACAUAACUGCAAUCUGGAACAGUCAUUUCUGGGGAUAAAGGUUGGUGUGAGGAUUUUGUUGAGGCUAUAGACAAACACAUGGAGUGUAUAACUUGUUGGUAAGAUUUUGUUGAGGCAUAUAAUCGAACAAGUUUAGUGUAUAGCUGAUUGAGUGAAAAGCUUUUGGUUAUGAUUUCAUCGAACAUAUUGAUAAUUGAGUGUAGCUGCUUGUUAUCAUUUUGUUAAGGCAUAUCAGCGGCCACUUUUUAUACCUUGUUGUUGUCAGCCGUACCUGAUGGGUAGAAUGAAAAUUAGACGGAGGAAGUACAUAUUAACCAAACAGAGAAUUGAGAUUAUAUGCAAAGCUGAUGAAGGUCUAUCUCAUACUUGCAAACUGAUACAAGUUCAUUCAUUAUCAAUUAGUUAGUUAGGAGUUUUCACUACAAUUACGUCCAACUGUAUUUUCAUUUUCUGCAUUUGUACUUCUGUAGGCCUUGUCAAAGUAUGUUAUUUUCGUAUGAUUGUUAGAUAUUUGUAGGCUAACUCUCGAGUUGUAGAAUUACAUUAUGUGUUGUUGUUGUUGUUAUAGUUUUUCUAUUUUUUUGGAUUUUGAUAUAGCAAGAGUAAAGCAAUUGGGAAGGUUUGCCCAUUGUCAGCCG